UACAGAGGUCUCAAGCGUUGUUCGGAUUCAUUGGGCGUAAAGGGUGCGUAGGCGGCGAGGCAAGUCGGAUGUGAAAUCCCGGGGCUCAACCCUGGAACUGCAUUCGAUACUGCCUUGCUCGAGGACUCGAGAGGAGAUUGGAAUUCACGGUGUAGCAGUGAAAUGCGUAGAUAUCGUGAGGAAGACCAGUGGCGAAGGCGGAUCUCUGGAGAGUUCCUGACGCUGAGGCACGAAGGCCAGGGGAGCAAACGGG
rnacentral:rRNA from 1 species